UGCGUAGGGCGCAAGCGUUGUCCGGAAUUAUUGGGCGUAAAGAGCUCGUAGGCGGCUUGUCACGUCGGAUGUGAAAGCCCCGAGGCUUAACCCCGGGUCUGCAUUCGAUACGGGCUGGCUAGAGUGUGGUAGGGGAGAUCGGAAUUCCUGGUGUAGCGGUGAAAUGCGCAAAUAUCAGGAGGAACACCGGUGGCGAAGGCGGAUCUCUGGGCCAUUACUGACGCUGAGGAGCGAAAGCGUGGGGAGCGAACAGG
rnacentral:rRNA from 1 species